AAUGGGAUGUCUGAAUAUAGGUAAUAGAUUGUAAAUCUAUUCAUGGUUUUAAAGCCUCUCAUUA
rnacentral:tRNA from 1 species